rnacentral:rRNA from 1 species
GUAGGUGGCAAGCGUUGUCCGGAAUUAUUGGGCGUAAAGCGCGCGCAGGCGGUUCUUUAAGUCUGAUGUGAAAGCCCACGGCUCAACCGUGGAGGGUCAUUGGAAACUGGAGAACUUGAGUACAGAAGAGGAAAGCGGAAUCCCACGUGUAGCGGUGAAAUGCGUAGAGAUGUGGAGGAACACCAGUGGCGAAGGCGGCUUUCUGGUCUGUAACUGACGCUGAGGCGCGAAAGCGUGGGGAGCAAACAGGGAUUAGAUACCCUGGUAGUCCACGCCGUAAACGAUGAGUGCUAAGUGUUAGGGGGGUUUCCGCCCCCUUAGUGCUGCAGCUAACGCAUUAAGCACUCCGCCUGGGGAUACGGCCGCAAGGCUG